rnacentral:lncRNA from 1 species
UAGGAGUCAUCCACGCGAGCCCGUGAAUCACGAUCAAAAGUCCUGGUCUAGAAGAUUAGCACAAUAUGCGAGCACUGCGCUGAUCCUUCUUCGAUGGUCAAUCAAAUACCUCCUACUUCUUGAUUAAGACUCUUCCAAAGAUGAGAAGUAGGAGAAGGUGUUUUAGAUCUAAGACACUCUCAAGAAACUCAAGAUGGAGGAAGGGAAGAGGUGAACAUAGCAACCCUAAA